rnacentral:rRNA from 1 species
AUACGUAGGGGGCGAGCGUUGUCCGGAAUGAUUGGGCGUAAAGGGCGCGUAGGCGGCCCGGUAAGUCUGGAGUGAAAGUCCUGUUUUUAAGAUGGGAAUUGCUUUGGAUACUGUCGGGCUUGAGUGCAGGAGAGGUAAGUGGAAUUCCCAGUGUAGCGGUGAAAUGCGUAGAGAUUGGGAGGAACACCGGUGGCGAAGGCGACUUGCUGGACUGUAACUGACGCUGAGGCGCGAAAGUGUGGGGAGCAAACAGGAUUAGAUACCCUGGUAGUCCACACUGUAAACGAUGAAUGCUAGGUGUAGGGGGUAUCGACCCCUUCUGUGCCGCAGUCAACACAAUAAGCAUUCCGCCUGGGGAGUACGGCCGCAAGGUUGAAACUCAAAUGAAUUGACGGGG